AAGGACUCGUUUUCUUUGAGUGAGACAUAAUAAAUGAUUAUUUUGAGGCUCUUCUGGUUUUACAGUACAGUUGGAUUACUGUCUUUCUGGCAACCUUUUGAAUAGUAGCCGAUUGGCUGUGAGAAGGUGGUUAAGGUGGCUGGUGUCAUUUUCCUUUGUUGUUUGUUGGUUAGGACACAGUGGUCACCCAGAGAGAGCUUUGGUUACUAGGGACCCAUUUUUUACUUGAUAUCAAGAAACAUGUUCUGACUUGUUUUUCUCUAAUGGCAACCUGGUACAAACAUUAAAAAAAAAGAAAAACUUCCCACUUUUUUUUUUUUUUUUUUAACACCCAAACACUUCUACAAUGAGAAUCCGUAUGUGUAGUUAGUUAAAAGGAGCAGCAUGGUGAAUGUUUGUACUCU